rnacentral:rRNA from 1 species
UACGUAGGGUCCGAGCGUUUGUCCCGGAAUUAUUGGGCGUAAAGGGCUCGUAGGCGGUCUGUCGCGUCGGGGAGUGAAAACUUACAGCUUAACUGUGAGCGUGCUUCCGAUACGGGCAGACUUGAGGUAUUCAGGGGAGAACGGAAUUCCUGGUGUAGCGGUGAAAUGCGUAGAGAUGGGAGGAACAUCAGUUGCGAAGGCGGCUCUCUGGACCAGCACUGACACUGAGGCACGAAAGCGUGGGGAGCAAACAGG